rnacentral:tRNA from 2 species
GCCGCAAUAGCUCAGCUGGUUGCGUUGGAGGCGAAGCCUCUGACGCUGAAAGAGAGCAACGCAUUCGUAAUGCGUAGGUCGCCGGUUCAAGUCCGGCUUUCGGCU